GGAUGCGUAGCUCAGCGGUAGAGCACUGCCUUCACACGGCAGGGGUCACAGGUUCAAUCCCUGUCGCAUCCA
rnacentral:tRNA from 1 species